ensembl:Mt_tRNA
ACAGAUAUAGUUUAACCAAAACAAUAAAUUGUGGUUUUAUAAAUAAAAGUUAAAAUCUUUUUACCUGUC